rnacentral:rRNA from 1 species
AUUGAACGCUGGCGGAAUGCUUUACACAUGCAAGUCGAACGAUGAACCUUAGCUUGCUAAGGGAAUUAGUGGCGAGCGGGUGAGUAAUGUAUCGGAACGAAUCCAAUAAUGGGGGAUAACUAGUCGAAAGAUUAGCUAAUACCGCAAACGUCCUGCGGGAGAAAGCUAGGGACCUUCGGGCCUGGCGUUAAUGGAGCGGCCGAUAUCUGAUUAGCUAGUUGGUGGGGUAAAGGCUCACCAAGGCGACGAUCAGUAGCUGGUCUGAGAGGACGACCAGCCACACUGGAACUGAGACACGGUCCAGACUCCUACGGGAGGCAGCAGUGGGGAAUUUUGGACAAUGGGCGAAAGCCUGAUCCAGCCAUUCCGCGUGAGUGAAGAAGGCCUUCGGGUUGUAAAGCUCUUUCGCAAGGGAAGAAAACUUAAGCUCUAACAUAGCUUGAGGUUGACGGUACCUUGAUAAGAAGCACCGGCUAACUGCGUGCCAGCCGCCGCGGUAA